UCAAUCGAUUACAAACCGUAAGCAACGUAGACAUGAGGUUUUCCUAAUGUUACUAUGGUAUCAGACUCAGAAAUCAUCAAUUUCUGAGGGUACCGAUCCUAGCCUGUCAAUUUCUUCACCAAAACCAUCAUUAUUUCAUCUUCGAAAAUCACCACCACCAUUGAUUAAUCAUCAUCUUCUGAUGUUGCCACUAUAGAUAGAAAUUUAAAGGGUGAUCUCAUAAAUUAUCUCAGAUUUGAGUAUAAUUCGUCUCCUCUAUGGGUUUCCAUCUACAUCUACAUCAACAAUUGGUAAAUUUCUUCAUCCAUCUCCAUUAAUAGUGUUUUUUAGUACGAAUUAGGGUUUUUAUGUGGUUUGAUACCUAUGCUAUGUCAACAGACAGGAUUAAGUAUGAUUUUUUGAUUUGAAAUUUGGUUGAAUUACUUGAGCUCUUGAUGCUUUUGGUCACCGUUUUCAAUUGGAGCUGGAUUCAUUUACCUCAACUGGUUCAAUUCAAAUCUCUGCUGGGUCUGAGCGCGUUCUAGUCCGCCACACAAAGGUCUAGUUAAGGCGAAAACUUAAAGUCGUUCCACUCAAUUGGAUUCAGCAGAAGGUUGAGAGUUUGUGGGUGAAAAUGAUUCUGCACGUGGUGCUUAACGGCUUAUUCUUCAUACUUCCCAUCUCAAUUCUUAUUUCAAGGAAGUCCUUACUGCGGUGUUGAAGUAUCUUGUGCUUUUCGUGGGGUUUCUGCGAUUGGACUUCGAAUUGGAGUUGGUGAGUUACAUAAGUACAUGUUGGAGUUCUCUUUGUUGAGUUUGUAUACACUUAGUAUGCAACCUGGUGUUAAGUUUGCAUGUGUGUUCAAUAUGCAACCUGUUGUUCUUCUAUUUUUAAUGCAGUUGAAGUUCAUCUUCAAUGGUGCUAUUUACUUUUAUUUCUUAUGUGAAUGGAUAAUCCAAUGUGCACUGGCCUUAUGGAGAAUAAUCAAAGGUUAAUAAUACAGUUGAAGACUUUGCUGCACGGUGCGCUGCUGCAAUAACUGAAUAAGGGGAUUUUUUUUUUCCUUUUCAAUAUGCUAUUCAAGUUCUUGCAUUUUGUCUCAUUUCUGCUUUGCUGCAUCUAAUAAUGUUGCUGAAUGAGUGCUUUCUACAUCUCAUUGGCUCACUGGCUUGUUAUAUUUCCACCCUGGUAUAAUGUAUCAAUGACAAAUCUGAUGGUGUUGAGG